GAGGGUAUAGUUCAAUGGUAGAGUGCAUGCCUAGCAUGCAUGAGGUCCUGGGUUCAAUCCCCAGUUCCUCCA
rfam:Camelus ferus unplaced genomic scaffold scaffold121, whole genome shotgun sequence.